GAGGAUUUGUGGCACUUGGGUACCUUUGCUUCCAGUACUUGGGGAAGGAUUUAACACUCUUGGAGCAGCAGCUCAUGACUUUGGCACCUGGAGAGCACUCUGAGCUCUAAAUGUUUAAUUUGGAGGUUUCAAGAGCAGACUUAGCUGAGUAUUCUGAUGGGGCUGCAGCAGCACAGCCUCCUGUCUGUAACAUGGACAGUGCUCCCAGAAAGAGCAGCCUGGAUUCCCCCAAAGACAUCUGUGUCGAAUUGAUGAUGAGCUUGGCUGGCAUCUUAGAAAGAUCUUGAGCUGACAAGAUUAACCCUCAAAUGCCGUGGGAUGCAAAGGGCACGCCAUUUGAGAAGAGGGGCACACACACGACUUGGCAGCUGGAAAAAGCUGCCAGACUCAGCUAAAUGCAAGUCUUCUAUCCCGUGUGGUAAGCUCAAAACUGGGGGAGAGGAUGAAAUUACUUCUGUUGGCUUUCAGUGUGUUGUUUUUUUUCCCCUUUGUGGGUGUAUGUAUUUGCUAUGACAGUGACCUCUGUGGAGGCUCUAUCAGGAGUUAUGGACUGUGUCACAUCUUUCUGCACCGCAUCUUGGGAGAUCCUAAACAUCAUCUUAUGAGGGCCUUAGUGCUCCUCUUCCCAAUUGGAGAAAUUCUCCAUAGCAGACACUCGAUGCUAAUGCCGUAUUGUUGGAUACUGUGUGCAUCCAGAAGAUACACCAGCAUGCCCUUGAUGUUUUCCUGGAGAAAACCAUUAACUGGAAUGGUGAGCAAACUGAAAGUGAAGGGAAAGCAGUUGGCUGCAUGUGGGACUGUGCAAACUGCUGCUACCUGGUGCCAGCCACGAGCAAAAUGGAAUGGAAGGAGCCACUCCUUGCAUGGCACGUGCUGUGGUCACUGCAGCAAGAUUUAUUUGUGCUGGAGGAAGAGCUGACCUUCAUAAACUGUAAACAGUCCUUGACAGAAAUAUGUACCUAUGGCCUUGUCAGCUCUCUGAGGUUUUGUCUGUGUUGUUCCCCUGGUGAAUGUGUUGGCAAACUUCCUCUAGCAGAGCCAGCAAAAUUUUGUCCUUCCUGGCCUCCUGGUCCAGCCCUGUCCGUCCCAGAGAGAGACUAAAGAGCCACCAGCCAAGAGAUGGUUGCUUUAUGGCUGGGUCUUUGGUGCAGUGAUGCCGGUUAGAAUUUGCAGGCCACUGUGUUUGGGUGGUUGUGUUCCCUGCAUGGGAAUGAGUUGAUGUAUGUCAUAACAGCACCGCUGAAAGGUCAUUGACUGUCUUGGUGAAUCCAGCUUCUGUUCCCAACGCAUGCAAGUAUUUGUAGAGCCGUGCCAAAAAAAAUGUGAUGUUCUGACCUUAAGUAGAUAACCUCUCUCUCCUUAAAGCAUACUUUUAGACCAUAUAAAGAUGUAGAUUGAGGCAAAGUUUUGAGUUUUGUCUGAUGAUAUUCCUGUGUCUUGGUGUGAGAAGAGCCCUUUGAACACAAAUGGAAACUGUGCAAACUGUGUUUUGCUAGUAGGGUUAAUAGGGGCAUUACAAGCCACCAUGCUUUUCCUCAUUUUCUGGGAAUUAAUGUGUGCUCAAAAUGUUACAAGGGGUAAAAAUAGAUAUCUAAUAGUGGAUAAACACUGAGGUGGUUUUUUUUUUUUAAUUCCAAAAAAUGAGCAAUAAA
rnacentral:lncRNA from 7 species